UAUAUAUUUAUUAUAUCAUAAUAUGCUGAGCCAGCGAUGAAUAACCUUGACUAUAAAUGGUUCUUGAACAUUAGCAAAAAGCUUAUUAGGUCAGAGGAAUUAGUGUGCUUCCUUGGUGAAUGCAAGUUGAACGAUGUGUUCCCAAUGUCGAUCUUCCGGAUUUUUUGUCUUGUAAUACAAGACAAAAAAUCCACAGCUAUCUACAUAGCUAUUAGCUAUUUCUACAGUAACAAAUUAUUAUAAAUUAAAAUUUUGAAGGGAAGUUUGGUUUUUGAAAUUUCUUUAAUUUUAAUAAGGCUGCCAAUUCGCUCAAGGAAGAGAGAAAGUCAAGUUAGAUAUAGAUGCCUAAAGUUUGCAUAUUCUGAUGCCAAGCGCACAAUGUACGCUAACAGAAAAA
rnacentral:lncRNA from 1 species